GACUUCGGGGUGCAGUGGUCAGCACGCUCGGCAUGUAUUCAAGAGGUCCGUGGUUCGAGUCCCGGCGAAGUCA
rnacentral:tRNA from 1 species